rnacentral:rRNA from 1 species
UACGUAGGGUGCAAGCGUUGUCCGGAAUUACUGGGCGUAAAGAGCUCGUAGGCGGUCUGUCGCGUCGGAUGUGAAAGCCCGGGGCUUAACUCCGGGUCUGCAUUCGAUACGGGCAGACUAGAGUGUGGUAGGGGAGAUCGGAAUUCCUGGUGUAGCGGUGAAAUGCGCAGAUAUCAGGAGGAACACCGGUGGCGAAGGCGGAUCUCUGGGCCAUUACUGACGCUGAGGAGCGAAAGCGUGGGGAGCGAACAGG